UUUGUGCUCUUAUUUCGUGCAUGCGCUCUGUUUCGUGUACAGUUGUGAGCUAAAAGGUUGCGACAUUUCUUUUUUUGAUGAGUUUCUGAACGCGCAAUCUCUUUAGCAAGAUAAGAACGACUGCAGCUAUGGAGGUUAGCGCAAACGUCAAACAUGGUCAAACGUUCGUAUACAAGGUGUACAACAUAAGAUUAGAUCGGUUUUGAUCUAAUUAAGAUAAAGUUUCUAGGUAAAUGAAUUUAGCGUCAACGAGGUGCGAAAUUUAAUAUUCAUUCAAAUAUAGUUGCUACAGAAGAGAUCAAACUCAAAUAUAUUAGGCUCGUGUACCAAAUGACAGAUUUUGAGCUAAAACUGUAUUCUCUCAUCGCAGUUUCAAUUAACUGGAUCUGCCAGUGUACGAGACGUAUAAUAAACUCCGUACAAAUCUAUUCAAGGCAAUUCAUGAAUGCAGUAAAGGAUUUGGAUUUGUAUAAGCUCGUUGGAACGCAAUCGUCGUAUAUUAUAUAGCAGUUUAUCAUACAUGUGUUGUCCUGCCUGUUCAGAGUAAAUGUUACAAGAAUUUGCUUCUGUGUAAUUACGAGUUCCUGCGUCCAAUCGAUGACAUUCUAGAGACCAAACUUUACAGCCAGUAAUAAUAUUCCGGACGUGCAAUGGCGUAUCGCUUGUGAAAAUUUUAACGUACUUACAAAAAUUGUUAUACGCAGUGUUAUACAUAUGUAAAACUGUCAUGUGAAUGUUACGAAUCAGUGCUCUAAUUAAUUGCUAAUAUGGAUUAUUACACUUAUACGACUUUGUAAAUAUAAAAUUUAUAUUUUCAUGUUAUAUACAUUAAUUUUCAUGUAAUUAAUUGAACAAUAAUUUAUUUGGUAAUAAAUACGCUAAUAAAUACGCUGACUUUAAAGUGCAGUAUAUUACAUUUCUUUUCAUCCUAUAUUAUCUCUUAUGACAAACUAAUCUAACUAUUACAGUUAUGUGUGUAAAUCUUAUCUUUAAAAAAAAUCGAAGCUACUUUAAGCAUGAAAGUGACUUUGGAGGAAGAGAAGCAAGAUCCUGCAAGCACAAAUAUUAAAUACAUGGUUCCCAUAAAUCUUGUAUGAUGAAUUAAUAAGCAGAAAAUGAUAAUUUUUCUCUUAAAGAGUCAUUCUUUAUUCAUAAAAGUGUAACUAUCAAAAAAUUCAAAUGCAUGCAUGUUAUCAUUUUCUGCCUAUUAAGUCAUCAUACAGCAUUUAUAGUUGGAUGUAUUUAAUAUAUAUGAAGUAAUAUAUACGUCUCACACGAGCCUAAUAUAUUCGAGUUAGGUCUUUUCUGUAACAACUAUAUUACGUCCAUUUGAUAUUAAAUUUUGCACAUUGUUGACGCCAAAUUCAUUCACCUAGAAACUACGCAUAUAUUUAGUUAGCAAAAGAAAAAUAUAUACC